rnacentral:rRNA from 1 species
CCUACGGGAGGCAGCAGUGGGGGAUAUUGCACAAUGGGGGAAACCCUGAUGCAGCGACGCCGCGUGUGGGAAGACGGUCCUCUGGAUUGUAAACCACUGUCCCCAGGGACGAAGAUGACGGUACCUGGGGAGGCCGCUCCGGCUAACUACGUGCCACCAGCCGCGGUAAUCCGUAGGGAGCGAGCGUUGUCCGGAAUUACUGGGUGUAAAGGGAGCGUAGGCGGGGAUGCAAGUUGGGUGUCAAAACUACCGGCUCAACUGGUAGUCGCACUCAAAACUGCAGCUCUUGAGUGAAGUAGAGGCAGGCGGAAUUCCUAGUGUAGCGGUGAAAUGCGUAGAUAUUAGGAGGAACACCAGUGGCGAAGGCGGCCUGCUGGGCUGUGACUGACGCUGAGGCUCGAAAGUGUGGGGAGCAAACAGGAUUAGAUACCCGGGUAGUC